AUUGAACGCUGGCGGCAUGCUUUACACAUGCAAGUCGAACGGUAGAGGGGGCAACCCCUUGAGAGUGGCGAACGGGUGAGUAAUGCAUCGGAACGUGCCCAGUAGUGGGGGAUAGCCCGGCGAAAGCCGGAUUAAUACCGCAUGAGACCUGAGGGUGAAAGCGGGGGACCAAGUAGCAAUAUUUGGCCUCGCGCUACUGGAGCGGCCGAUGUCAGAUUAGGUAGUUGGUGGGGUAAAGGCCUACCAAGCCGACGAUCUGUAGCUGGUCUGAGAGGACGAACAGCCACACUGGGACUGAGACACGGCCCAGACUCCUACGGGAGGCAGCAGUGGGGAAUUUUGGACAAUGGGCGAAAGCCUGAUCCAGCCAUGCCGCGUGCGGGAAGAAGGCCUUCGGGUUGUAAACCGCUUUUGUCAGGGAAGAAAUCCUUUGGGCUAAUACCCCGGGGGGAUGACGGUACCUGAAGAAUAAGCACCGGCUAACUCCGUGCCAGCAGCCGCGGUAA
rnacentral:rRNA from 1 species